GACGAACGCUGGCGGCGUGCUUAACACAUGCAAGUCGAACGAUGAAGUCGGAGCUUGCUCUGGUGAAUUAGUGGCGAACGGGUGAGUAACACGUGAGUAACCUGCCCUUGACUCUGGGAUAACUGCUAGAAAUGGUAGCUAAUGCCGGAUACGACCCUCGGAGGCAUCUCCAGGGGGUGGAAAGAAUUUCGGUCAAGGAUGGACUCGCGGCCUAUCAGCUAGUUGGUGAGGUAAUGGCUCACCAAGGCGACGACGGGUAGCCGGCCUGAGAGGGUGACCGGCCACACUGGGACUGAGACACGGCCCAGACUCCUACGGGAGGCAGCAGUGGGGAAUAUUGCACAAUGGGCACAAGCCUGAUGCAGCAACGCCGCGUGAGGGAUGACGGCCUUCGGGUUGUAAACCUCUUUUAGUAGGGAAGAAGCGAAAGUGACGGUACCUGCAGAAAAAGCACCGGCUAACUACGUGCCAGCCGCCGCAGUAA
rnacentral:rRNA from 1 species